rnacentral:lncRNA from 1 species
GUCUUCAUUCAGAGAGCAUUUUCCUAAGUCUGGCAAUAUGUGUGAAGUGCUUUUACCUAAGAGAAUCUGGCAACUUUACCCAGAGAACCUGUGUAAACACAUUCUUAUGAUCAGAGAGCUGAAGGAGUCGAACAUGAUUAAACAUCACUAUUUGAGAAGUUUAAAUCAUCAUGGAAACCGCAUACUAUUAAAAGGCCCCG